rnacentral:hammerhead_ribozyme from 2 species
AUCUAUCCGACGAGUCCCAAAUAGGACGAAAGGCGUGUCUUGGAU